rnacentral:rRNA from 1 species
CCCUUAGAUGUUCUGGGCCGCACGCGCGCUACACUGAUGCAUUCAACGAGCCUAUCCUUGACCGACAGGUCCGGGUAAUCUUUGAAUCUGCAUCGUGACGGGGAUAGAUUAUUGCAAUUAUUAAUCUUCAACGAGGAAUGCCUAGUAGGCGCAAGUCAUCAGCUUGCGUCGAUUACGUCCCUGCCCUUUGUACACACCGCCCGUCGCUCCUACCGAUUGGGUGUGCUGGUGAAAUGUUCGGAUCGGCCGUUUGUCGCGGUUUCCGCGGCUCGUGGCUGAGAAGUUCAUUAAACCCUCCCACCUAGAGGAAGGAGAAGCCGUAACA